CUAUAUUUAAUAAUCAAACAAAUAACGGUCUAACAAAACAAAUAUAAUAAUAGAAUUAUAACUAACAAACUCAAACGAUUGAAAAUCGUAACAAUAGUUAGGUUGUAAGUUGUACACAAAAAUUUCAAUGGAGUGGGCAUUUUUAUGUUUUCCAAGAAGAGACGCUCAGCGGCCGUGCGCUACAACGAACGCAGUUUGCCGCCGCGGAAACACAAUAUUAUCCUUAUUCAAUACAUUUUAAGGCUCACAAACCCUUCUCAGAACAAUUUGAUUGUACACACCGCUUCCUUUUGUUCUAAAUUGAAACAAAAUUUGCAACCAUCGCUCUGCGUAUUGGCAAAAAAUUUUGGUUCAACGAAGGUAGAAAAUCCCCUUGCUUUAACUUUUAUAACAAUGGUUUUAAAAUCGGAGCAAUAUUUAAAUACAUUGUUAGUGUUAAACAGUUAAAUAUAUCUAGUUAGCUAGUUAUCUACACAUUAUAAUAAUUUAAGAACAAACUAAAUACAUUUUGAAUACGCGGUACCAUUAAAAUAAACUGAACAUCAAUAAAGUUAAAAAAAUAACUUAGUAAUACUUAAGAAUAUAGCUUAUAUUACAUAAUAAUCAGUUUAAUAUGUUAAAUUAAAAUUAGUAUAUCAAAAAUAUUUGUUACUUUCUUACAUCAAAAGUAAUUUUAGCAGUUUAGGGGUAGUAAAUAAUAUAUAACACCUGUAAUAUUUUCAUCAUCAACAAUAAGACUCAUAAGUCAUUACAAAGUUUUUCUAAAAUAAUAAUAUUCAUUAUUACUUACCUAUUACAAAUGAAAACGGAUGAACGAAAACAUUUAUAUCAAACUUUAUACUUACUUGAAUAUAAAAAACAAACUUUUUAAAAUAGUUCCUUACAGCUAAAAUAAAAAAAAAUCAUUGACGAGGGCUCAAUGGCAUUUUUUGUCAAUUUUUGACUGCACGUGGGAUUUUCCUGGGUGAAAUUUUAAAAAAGCCGCUGUAUACAAUGCAACCUUGUCUGUUGCGAUUUUUUUACCUGCACCCAUGGGCUUACCAUAGACAAUUCCACGUAUUGUAUAAAUCUAUAAUAGUAUUUUUUUAUCUACUAUCAUGUUAUACAGUAUUUGAGUGGUUAGCGGAAUAUUUUGUCGAAUUGGCUUGAACGCAAUAUUUUUUUAAAUAUUUAUACAUUUUUUCAGGUUGUGUCUGGUUACAUAGCUUUGUAACUUUUCGUUGAACAGUAGCAAACCCUGAGACGAAAUGCAAACAUGUUUCUUUAUCUAGUAAUAAAAUCUAUGUGAAAGCAAAGCUUUAAGACAGAUACUUUUAUUUUGGAGUUUUAACCAAAAACGUAUGUGUACAUCCUGCAUAUCCGGAAAAAAACUUUCAAUCAAAGAAAUAGGCAAUUAAUUUGUACGUGGUACUUACAGGGAUGCCUUCUAAAAAUAAUUUUAAUCAAAAAAUAUAUAAAUAAUUCUAUAUAAGUAUAUUUUUGCGUGAUGGUACCUAAAUGUGACGACAGGGCAUAUUUCACCGUGAUAAUAAAAAUAAAAACAGUAGUGAUAUCAAAUCAAAAACCUAUGCUUGCUAGCGAGGCACUUAAAGAUAAGUAUGAACUUUUAAAAGUUUACGAUGGUUAUGUUAACAGCACAAAGAAAUUCAAUUAAACAUCGUGUUGUUUGAAUUUAUAACGAAAUACCUGAUUGUUAUCAACAGAAUUCAAAAACGCGAAAUAUCAGAGAAAGUUGUUUCGAAAUCGCUACAACUUUUCGCUUUUAGUCAUAAACGUUCAUAUAAAAAAAAAAAAAUAUGUUUAUAUUAUAAUCCCUCUAGUACAAUAAAAAUGUAUUGCAAUAUGAUUUUGAAUUACUUCUUUUCCUAUAAUUUGUCCCGGCAAGGGUAUUUUCAAAAAAGUAGGUAGUUUUAUUAUCAUUGACUGUUUGAUCCAAAAAUGACGUCAUUAUGUCCCAUAAAAUUAAUUUAUCACCACGUGGCGCGUGCGUAGCUGAUAUAUUUUUUCCCAAUCGAUAAUGGAAUAUGUGUCCCUCUAUUUUGAUGUGUAAUCUAUGGUCGAUUGCAGCGCGGGCGCAGGUAGCGGACCCUGGAUGGACGGUUUGAAUGUCGAAUAUCGUAAUGUUACCAGCAUUAAACAAUUGUUUUGCCCUUUUCCGUUAUGUUGGGAAUUACGGUUUUACGAUACAGGGUUUUUAAAACGUCAGUUUGAGGUAAAUAGUAUAUUUUGUAUAAAUAAUUAAACUUAUAUAAAAUUAUAAAAUAGGCACGAAAAAAAUAAACUUAGUAUUUUCCCCUUUUACGUCAAACCAAGCAGAAAUAUCGUGAUUUUAUAUGUUUUCCGUAUGAUUUGUCAUUGGCCAGUUUAACCACAUUCCGAAAAGGAAAAGACAUUGAGGUAACUUAAAAUAACAUAUUACGUAUCUGUAUCUUUUGAAACUAACCAUCAAAGGAUCUAGUCAAUAAGAAAUUGGCGUAAAGAAUGAGAUUAUCGACUAUCUCGACCGCAUGAACUUUGUAUUGACCAAAGCGAAAAGCUCGACCAUGCGUCAUACGUCCGAUAUGUUGAUCGCCAUCAUUAAACGUGUCAAGGAUCACAACUUUCAAAUGCGGCUGCGACGCGUCCAGCUUCCCUAGCAGUGAUGCAAAGCUCUCACGUUGACAACACCGUCGGGAAGUUCAGGAACCACUUCCCAGAACGAUAAAGGGCCGGAGGGUGUGAAGCGGCGCGCAGGGGGGAAGACGGCGCGACAGCUGCGCGCGCGUCGCUCUCCCCGCGGGCCCGCGCCUUCGUCACGGCACUCAACAGUCGGCGCUCACACGAGACGCACGUUUGCGCCGAUCGUCUCGCGAAAUACGCGCGUAACAUUUCCGUUGGAGUCGAGUGCGUGAGUUUAAACUUUCCAUUUGACAAAUGGAGCGUUCACGUGUGCCGGUGGAGAUCGUCAGAGGCGUCGCGCCGGCGAAGGACGCACGCCGGGCGCGGCGCAGGAGCGGCCGUCGGCAUCCUUUGUCCGGGAGGCCCGUUUGGCUGGGCGGUGACUGGCGCUAUAUUCGGUACGUUUGCGAUAUUGCACCAGUCCCGGCCUAUCCGAGCGGGCCGGGUCGUCGGGGACCGCUAGUCGGGCGCUCCGCCGCUCCGUCGCUCAGCAUCCGCGGCGCGCGGUCCCGUUAGGCGGCCGGUCGGUCGUUCACUGCGGUGGCCACGCUUAGGUCGCGAUUAGGUGUAAACGUUGUGUCUGUUAAUCAAAUUGCACCAAUCCCGGCCUGCUUGUGGUCGCCAUGCCGCGUGAGACCGUCGCCGCCGCACCGCCGCCACCGCACGUGCUGUCGCGACGUGGACCCGCUGCAAGUUGCAACUUACCCCGUAUACUAAAUUUUAUAACCUGCACUGUGCAACAUUUAUUACCUAAGGUAGGUCAACCUGUUUGGCCGAUUUGCAUUUCUAACAAUGUGUCGAAUGUUUUAUGUAUUGUUCGCGGUAGAAAGUAUUGUAAGACCGAAAAUGAUGAGAUUUUUUUGUAAGAAAGUCGAUCGUCGGCGGUGAGUGCUCCGUGAACCGCUCGGGGACCGGUUCGUUCGCCCAUAAAUCGUAAUAUAUAAGUGUAUAAGGCAAAUGACGAGCUGUAAGGCGCAGCGCUGCGUCGAAGGACAUCGGCGAGUGUUUUAGACUACGUCAGUCUAGGAACAGCUGAUUUCUCAUUCAUGUUUUAUUUAUUAAAUGCUAAGUCACUCGGUCUCUUUCGGGUUGUAUGUAAGUGGGUCAGC
rnacentral:miRNA from 1 species